CAGUAGCCGCGGUAAUACGUAGGGUGCGAGCGUUAAUCGGAAUUACUGGGCGUAAAGCGUGCGCAGGCGGUUCGCUAAGACAGAUGUGAAAUCCCCGGGCUUAACCUGGGAACUGCAUUUGUGACUGGCGAGCUAGAGUAUGGCAGAGGGGGGUAGAAUUCCACGUGUAGCAGUGAAAUGCGUAGAGAUGUGGAGGAAUACCGAUGGCGAAGGCAGCCCCCUGGGCCAAUACUGACGCUCAUGCACGAAAGCGUGGGGAGCAAACAGGAUUAGAGACCCCAGUAGUCCCUGUCUCUUAUAC
rnacentral:rRNA from 1 species